AACGUAGGAGACGAACGUUAUCCGGAGUUACUGGGCGUAAAGGGCGUGUAGGCGGUUUGUUAAGUCUGGCGUGAAAGCCUCUCGGCUAAACCGGGAGAGGUCGUUGGAUACUGGCGAACUAGAGGAUGGUAGAGGCGUGUGGAAUUCCGGGUGUAGUGGUGAAAUGCGUAGAGAUCCGGAGGAACACCAGUGGCGAAGGCGACACGCUGGGCCAUACCUGACGCUAAAGCGCGACAGCAUGGGGAGCAAACGGG
rnacentral:rRNA from 1 species